AACGAACGCUGGCGGCAGGCUUAACACAUGCAAGUCGAACGGAUGUAGCAAUACAUCAGUGGCAGACGGGUGAGUAACACGUGGGAACCUUCCUCGUUGUACGGGACAACUCAGGGAAACUUGAGCUAAUACCGUAUACGUCCGAGAGGAGAAAGAUUUAUCGCAAUGAGACGGGCCCGCGUCGGAUUAGCUAGUUGGGUGGGAACGGUCCGUACCAAGGCGACGAUCCGUAGCUGANCUGAGAGGAUGAUCAGCCACACUGGGAUGAGACACGGCCCAGACUCCUACGGGAGGCGAGCAGGUGGGGAAUUCGUUGGACAAGUGGGCGCGAAGCCU
rnacentral:rRNA from 1 species